UCAUAUCCAGCAGCUAGAGUGGCCGGGACAAACUGGCUGGGGCCAAGCACUGUUGAAGCAACAGGGUCUGGUGACUCAGCUCAAGACCUGAAUGCAGUCAGGCUAGAGUCCCGGAUUCCUCAGAUCUCGGCUGCUCUUUGUUUUUGGAGCAUGUGGAGGCACUGAGGGCCAGGCACCAUUCCACACCUUAAAUUCCCUCAGUCUGAAUAGACACCAAGAUCUGCCCCAGGGGCCUCAGCCAUCAGUGCAACACCUUCGCUAGUGACCGGCAUUGUUUAACUACAGAAUGAACUGGACUGACCCCUCUUUUCUUCAGCUGGCCAGCUCUGAACUAUCAGCACAGCCUUGUCAGCAUCUCUUCACGAAGCCUUCUCUUGCGCCACAUGGGGCUCAGGGCCCUGACUCUGGGCUGCUUGCCUUAGCCCCUCUGCCUCACACACUAAGCAUGUGGCCGUGUGCUGGCAGGGAUGGUACCGCAGUCACCUCUGAGGCCUCAGGGCCUGGCACAAUGCACACACAUUUGUGGAACAGCUGGCUGAACAGAUUCGAGAUCUAUCUAGUCUGUAUCAAGGACUUUCUGUUGGCUUUUGGCAUGAGCCCUGAGAACCGCUAUGGGGGCACGAGGAAUGGUGUGGGCAGGUGAAGGGCUGCAGUUUUCACCUCUGGAGAGUGAAGGACCUACCGUCAGGGCCUGGAGUGCCUCCCAUUCCUGCGGGGACUGGACCUUGUGGGCCAGCAGUCGGACGGCGAUCUGUGGCCUGGGGGACAAGCAGAACACACUUCAGUGCACUAAGCCUGGGGCUACCUGGCUGGCCCUCCUUGGCCAUGGUUGUUCCCCUUCCCAGUCCGCUCCCUCUCAGCUGCCCCCACAGUGCUGAGACUCACCCUUCGAGCUCCUUGUUGAUCUGAUCACAGAAGCCAAUUAUGUAUUCCCAGUCCUCCUGGCGGUUGGAAGGAUUGGUGGCUUUAUCUUGCGACAGAACAAAGAAGAGGACAAGUGUUAGGAAGAGCAAGGAGGAUGCAGUGGAAGGUUUUCUUCGCAAGUUUUAGGCACUAAGAGUUUGCUUUCAACUUUACUCUCUAAUAGAGAAGCGUCAGUAGAACAGUCAGUAGCAAGGAGACAGAAAAAAAAAAGGUUCAGUCGGAGAGCACAUACAAAUACUGCUUUCUGUCCAGUAUUUUGAAAGUCACAAAUAAAAGAGAAAACAAA